UGCCAGCCGCCGCGGUAACACGGGGGGCGCAAGCGUUAUUCGGAAUUAUUGGGCGUAAAGGGCGCGCAGGCGGUCUUGUCCGUCAGGUGUGAAAGCUCGGGGCUCAACCCCGGAAGUGCACUUGAAACAGCAAGACUUGAAUACGGUAGAGGAGAGAGGAAUUCCUGGUGUAGAGGUGAAAUACGUAGAUAUCAGGAGGAACAUCGGUGGCGAAGGCGACUGUCUGGCGCAACACUGACACUCAGACCCGAAAGCGUGGGGAUCAAACAGGAUUAGAUA
rnacentral:rRNA from 1 species